UGUAUAAUGGGUCAGCGACUUAUAUUCUGUAGCAAGGUUAACCGAAUAGGGGAGCCGAAGGGAAACCGAGUCUUAACUGGGCGUUAAGUUGCAGGGUAUAGACCCGAAACCCGGUGAUCUAGCCAUGGGCAGGUUGAAGGUUGGGUAACACUAACUGGAGGACCGAACCGACUAAUGUUGAAAAAUUAGCGGAUGACUUGUGGCUGGGGGUGAAAGGCCAAUCAAACCGGGAGAUAGCUGGUUCUCCCCGAAAGCUAUUUAGGUAGCGCCUCGUGAAUUCAUCUCCGGGGGUAGAGCACUGUUUCGGCAAGGGGGUCAUCCCGACUUACCAACCCGAUGCAAACUGCGAAUACCGGAGAAUGUUAUCACGGGAGACACACGGCGGGUGCUAACGUCCGUCGUGAAGAGGGAAACAACCCAGACCGCCAGCUAAGGUCCCAAAGUCAUGGUUAAGUGGGAAACGAUGUGGGAAGGCCCAGACAGCCAGGAUGUUGGCUUAGAAGCAGCCAUCAUUUAAAGAAAGCGUAAUAGCUCACUGGUCGAGUCGGCCUGCGCGGAAGAUGUAACGGGGCUAAACCAUGCACCGAAGCUGCGGCAGCGACGCUUAUGCGUUGUUGGGUAGGGGAGCGUUCUGUAAGCCUGCGAAGGUGUGCUGUGAGGCAUGCUGGAG
rnacentral:rRNA from 1 species